AUUGAACGCUGGCGGCAGGCUUAACACAUGCAAGUCGAACGAGUGGCGGACGGGUGAGUAAUGCUUGGGAAACUGGCUGAUGGAGGGGGAUAACUACGGGAAACUGUAGCUAAUACCGCGUACCAUAGGAUGAGCCCAAGUGGGAUUAGGUGGUUGGUGGGGUAAAGGCUCACCAAGCCGACGAUCCCUAGCUGGUCUGAGAGGAUGACCAGCCACACUGGAACUGAGACACGGUCCAGACUCCUACGGGAGGCAGCAGUGGGUAAUAUUGCGCAAUGGGGGCAAGCCUGACGCAGCCAUGCCGCGUGAAUGAAGAAGGCCUUCGGGUUGUAAAGUUCUUUCGGUAGCGAGGCGUUACCUACAGAAGAAGCACCGGCUAACUCCGUGCCAGCAGCCGCGGUAAUUC
rnacentral:rRNA from 1 species